rnacentral:rRNA from 1 species
AGAGUUUGAUCCUGGCUCAGGACGAACGCUGGCGGCGUGCCUAAUACAUGCAAGUCGAACGAGAAUUGCUUACACCGAGUGCUUGCACUCACCGUAAGGAAUUCGAGUGGCGGACGGGUGAGUAACACGUGGGUAACCUGCCUAUCAGAGGGGGAUAACACUUGGAAACAGGUGCUAAUACCGCAUAAUAUUGAAAAGCGCAUGCUUUUCAAUUAAAAGGCGCUUCUGGUGUCACUGAUAGAUGGACCCGCGGCGUAUUAGCUAGUUGGUGAGGUAACGGCCUACCAAGGCAAUGAUACGUAGCCGAGUUGAGAGACUGAUCGGCCACAAUGGGACUGAGACACGGCCCAUACUCCUACGGGAGGCAGCAGUAGGGAAUCUUCCACAAUGGGCGCAAGCCUGAUGGAGCAACGCCGCGUGCGUGAAGAAGGUCUUCGGAUCGUAAAGCGCUGUUGUUAGAGAAGAACACGGAUAAGAGUAACUGUUUAUGCGUUGACGGUAUCUAACCAGAAAGUCACGGCUAACUACGUGCCAGCAGCCGCGGUAAUACGUAGGUGGCAAGCGUUGUCCGGAUUUAUUGGGCGUAAAGGGAACGCAGGCUGUCUUUUAAGUCCGAUGUGAAAGCCUUCGGCUUAACCGAAGAAGUGCAUUGGAAACUGGGAGACUUGAGUGCAGAAGAGGAGAGUGGAACUCCAUGUGUAGCGGUGAAAUGCGUAGAUAUAUGGAAGAACACCAGUGGCGAAAGCGGCUCUCUGGUCUGUAACUGACGCUGAGGUUCGAAAGCAUGGGUAGCGAACAGGAUUAGAUACCCUGGUAGUC